CAGCCGUAAACUAUGCGCGUUAGGUGUAUCGGUGACCACGAGUUACCGAGGUGCCGAAGGGAAACCGUGAAACGUGCCGCCUGGGAAGUACGGUCGCAAGGCUGAAACUUAAAGGAAUUGGCGGGGGAGCACCACAACAGGUGGAGCCUGCGGUUUAAUUGGAUUCAACGCCGGACAUCUCACCGGAUAAGACAGCUGAAUGAUUGUCAAUCUGAAGGUUUUACAUGACUAGCUGAGAGGAGGUGCAUGGCGUAGACGUCU
rnacentral:rRNA from 1 species